rnacentral:rRNA from 1 species
UUCGCAAUGCCCGAAAGGGUGACGAAGCGACGCCGCGUGGGUGAGGAAGGCCUUCGGGUUGUAAAGCCCUGUCAGGAGUUAAGAAAUGUAAGUGCGAUAAUAUCGCAUUUAUUUGACGAAGGCUCCAAAGGAAGCCACGGCUAACUCUGUGCCAGCAGCCGCGGUAAUACAGAGGUGGCAAGCGUUGUUCGGAAUUAUUGGGCGUAAAGAGCACGUAGGUGGGUUUGUAAGUCAGAUGUGAAAGCCUUCUGUUCAACGGAAGAAUUGCAUCUGAAACUGCGAGUCUUGAGUGUAGGAGGGGAGAAUGGAACUUCUGGUGGAGCGGUGAAAUGCGUAGAUAUCAGAAGGAACGCCGGCGGCGAAAGCGAUUCUCUGGCCUAUUACUGACACUCAGUGUGCGAAAGCUAGGGGAGCAAACGGGAUUAGAUACCCCGGUAGUCCUAGCCGUAAACGAUGGGCACUAAGUAGAGGGGUUUU